UCCCUAGUGGCUCAGAUGGUAAAGACUCUGCCUGCAAUGCAGGAAACCCGGGUUCGAUCCCUGGAUUGGGAA
rnacentral:tRNA from 1 species